UACAGAGGGGGCAAGCGUUAUUCGGAAUUAUUGGGCGUAAAGGGCGCGUAGGCGGCUUUGCAAGUGACGGGUGAAAUCCCUCGGCUUAACCGAGGAACUGCCUGUCAAACUGCAUGGCUUGAGACCGGGAGAGGUGAGUGGAAUUCCCAGUGUAGCGGUGAAAUGCGUAGAUAUUGGGAGGAACACCAGUGGCGAAGGCGGCUCACUGGACCGGUACCGACGCUGAUGCGCGAAAGCGUGGGGAGCAAACAGG
rnacentral:rRNA from 1 species